UACGGAGGGUGCAAGCGUUGCUCGGAAUUACUGGGCGUAAAGGGCGCGUAGGCGGCCUUCUAAGUCGGACGUGAAAUCCCUCGGCUUAACCGAGGAACUGCGUCCGAUACUGAAAGGCUUGAAUCCGGGAGAGGGAUGUGGAAUUCCAGGUGUAGCGGUGAAAUGCGUAGAUAUCUGGAGGAACACCGGUGGCGAAGGCGGCAUCCUGGACCGGCAUUGACGCUGAGGCGCGAAAGCUAGGGGAGCAAACGGG
rnacentral:rRNA from 1 species